CCUACGGGAGGCAGCAGUAGGGAAUAUUGCUCAAUGGGGGAAACCCUGAAGCAGCAACGCCGCGUGGAUGAUGAAGGUUUUCGGAUUGUAAACUCCUUUUGUUAGAGAAGAUAAUGACGGUAUCUAACCAAUAAGCCCCGGCUACCUCCGUGCCAGCAGCCGCGGUAAUACGGAGGGUGCAAGCGUUACUCGGAAUCACUGGGCGUAAAGGGCGCGUAGGCGGGAUAGCAAGUCAGAAGUGAAAUCCCAUGGCUUAACCAUAGAACUGCAUUUGAAACUGUUAGUCUGGAGUGUGGGAGGGGUAGGUGGAAUUCUUGGUGUAGGGGUAAAAUCCGUAGAGAUCAAGAGGAAUACUCAUGGCGAAGGCGACCUGCUAGAACAUAACUGACGCUGAUGCGCGAAAGCGUGGGGAGCAAACAGGAUUAGAUACCCCGGUAGUC
rnacentral:rRNA from 1 species